UACGUAGGGGGCAAGCGUUGUCCGGAUUUACUGGGCGUAAAGCGCGCGUAGGCGGUAGUUUAAGUCCGGUCUGAAAGCCCCCGGCUCAACCGGGGAAGGUGGCUGGAAACUGGGCUUCUGGAGGGCGGCAGAGGCGUGUGGAAUUCCUGGUGUAGCGGUGAAAUGCGUAGAGAUCAGGAGGAACACCGUGGCGAAGGCGGCACGCUGGGCCGGCCCUGACGCUGAGGCGCGAAAGCGUGGGGAGCGAACGGG
rnacentral:rRNA from 1 species